GUGGGCGGGCGAGUCAGGAGGCGCCAGCUGCCGAGGUCCCGGAGAGGAACCCAGGUGGCGGGAGCCGCUGUAUCAGGACCUCAGGAUCCCUCUCCAUCUUCCCUGCCCAGCAGGCGUCGGCCAUCCAGGCCCCCACCGGUUUGCACCUCCCCCCAGCUGGACCUUGGGAAAUAUUUUCUUUUUAAUCAAGAAAUGGCCCGAAGAGGAAGAUGGCAGAUAUGUGUUUACAGCUUUUCAUUUUCCUCCUUGCCUCUUUGUAAAUACCCUCUUCCAAGCUGGAAAAUAAAUUUCCAACCCUGUUGA